GUGACAAUGUCGAUUGUGGACAGAAUGGAGACUGUAUUUAUGAUCACAACUACGGUGGAAUAAAAUGUAAAUGCCGCAACGGAUUCAUUGGAGAAAAAUGCGAUGAAGCGCUCUGUAAACAAAGGAAUUGCAGUGGGCAUGGCUAUUGCUUGUGGAACCAAUAUGUUCACGAAACAAAAUGCAUUUGCCUGGAUGGUUGGAACGGAUCGGAUUGUGAGAUUAGUCCCUGUGAGGGGAGGAACUGUAGUGGUCAUGGUUAUUGCUCUUGGGAUAAGUUUCUUAAGGCAACAAAAUGUGUUUGCGAAGACGGUUGGGGUGGAUUGGAUUGCCA